UACACAUCACUCCUUUAAAGUUAUCGUUGGAUCGAGGAUGGGCCUUCAAGGUACACUGCAAGAUUUUCACCUUAAUAUAACCUUUAAGAAGCCAAUUUGAUGUGCCUCCAUCAAGCGUCAGCAGAACAAAGAGAGCUGCUGUAGACUGAACGCCACCCGACUGCCAUCAGAGCCACUGCAGCUGCAGAGAGCCUGAGCCUUCCUCUGUGAUACAUCAUGCAGUCAUGAACUGCAGGGCACAAAGACCCAUGAAUUAAUGAAGACCACAGAGGUAAUUAAAAGUGCUGGUGACACAGAUCCUCAGAGGGUAUCUAAGGGACAGGAGGUCUGUGUGGACUCCCAUCCCCCAGCCUCCACCUCCACCCCCGG